rnacentral:rRNA from 1 species
CGACCGGCGCACGGGUGAGUAACACGUAUCCAACCUACCGUCUACUCUUGGCCAGCCUUCUGAAAGGAAGAUUAAUCCAGGAUGGGAUCAUGAGUUCACAUGUCCGCAUGAUUAAAGGUAUUUUCCGGUAGACGAUGGGGAUGCGUUCCAUUAGAUAGUAGGCGGGGUAACGGCCCACCUAGUCAACGAUGGAUAGGGGUUCUGAGAGGAAGGUCCCCCACAUUGGAACUGAGACACGGUCCAA